GUAGGGAAUAUUGGGCAAUGGUCGGAAGACUGACCCAGCCAUGCCGCGUGCAGGAAGACGGCCCUCUGGGUUGUAAACUGCUUUUAUCUGGGAAGAAAAAGGCCAUGCGUGGCAAAUUGCCGGUACCAGAUGAAUAAGCACCGGCUAACUCCGUGCCAGCAGCCGCGGUAAUACGGAGGGUGCGAGCGUUGUCCGGAUUUAUUGGGUUUAAAGGGUGCGUAGGCGGCUGAUUAAGUCAGCGGUGAAAGACUUCGGCUUAACCGGAGCAGUGCCGUUGAUACUGGGUGGCUUGAGUGUCGGAGGGGUACAUGGAAUUGAUGGUGUAGCGGUGAAAUGCAUAGAUACCAUCAGGAACACCGAUAGCGAAGGCAUUGUACUGGCCGACAACUGACGCUGAUGCACGAAAGUGUGGGGAUCGAACAGGAUUAGAAACCCGUGUAGUCC
rnacentral:rRNA from 1 species